UAAACAUUGAUAGGAUACUACAUUCACUAUCCGCCCGGGUACUACGAGCGACAGCUUAAAACCCAAAGGACUUGGCGGUGCUUAAGAUCCACCUAGAGGAGCCUGUUCUAGAACCGAUAACCCCCGUUCAACCUCACCCCUUCUUGUUUACCCAGCCUAUAUACCGCCGUCGUCAGCCUACCUUGUGAAAGCCGAGCAGUAAGCAAAAAUGGCAUUGCCCAAAACGUCAGGUCGAGGUGUAGCCUAUGAAGGGGGAAGAAAUGGGCUACAUUUUCUAAAAUAGAAAAUCACGGACAGCACAUUGAAAUAUGUGCUUGAAGGAGGAUUUAGCAGUAAGCAGAAAGUAGAGCGUUCUGCUGAAACUGGCCCUAAAGCGCGUACAUAUCGCCCGUCACUCUCUCCAAACCUUAAAACAAAAGUAACUAAAACACUAUCAACCAAAAAGGAGAGGCAAGUCGUAACACGGUAAGUGUACAGAAGGUGUACCUUGGAAAAAU
rnacentral:rRNA from 1 species